GUUGAGGUCUAUCCCAAUGGGACUUUUUCUGCAGACCAACAUUGUUGGAAAUGCCUCAUAGAGUAACCAUGUGGUUUCCUUUAUGAGAGAACUACGUGUUAGAUCUGUGGGAAAGAACUUCAAGAUAGCU